GACGCAUACGGAAAGCUGCGGCAAGUACGGAAAAGCUCUGGGACGUCUUCCAGGAAAAGCUUCUAGCAUAUCGAGAUGGGCCCGUACCGAAAAUGGACACACAUGGGCAAGGAGAGGAUCCUGAGGUGAGCGAGAGAACUAUAGCUAAGGAACUCUGCAAAAUGACCCCGUAACCUAGGGAGAAGGGGUGCUCGUCAGAGACGAGCCGCAGAAAAACGGCCCAAGCGACUGUUUACCAAAAACACAGCUCUCUGCGAAGGCGCAAGCCGAAGUAUAGGGGGUGACGCCUGCCCGGUGCUGGAAGGUCAAGGGGAGUGGUCAGCGCAAGCGAAGCCAUGAUCCGAAGCCCCAGUAAACGGCGGCCGUAACUAUAACGGUCCUAAGGUAGCGAAAUUCCUUGUCAGGUAAGUUCUGACCCGCACGAAAGGCGUAACGAUUUGGGCGCUGUCUCGGCUGUAGACUCGGUGAAGUCUUAGUACCUGUGAAGAUGCAGGUUGCCCGCGACUAGACGGAAAGACCCCAUGGAGCUUCACUGCAGGUUGACAUUGGGCCUGGGUGCAUGAUGUACAGGAUAGGUGGGAGGCAGAGAGACGGGUUCGCCAGGAUCCGAGGAGCCGCCGUUGGGAUACCACCCUUCAUGCAUCUAGGUUCUAACCGGAGGCCAUGAACUGGCCACGGGACAGUGUCAGUCGGGCAGUUUGACUGGGGCGGUCGCCUCCCAAAGAGUAACGGAGGCGCCCAAAGAUACCCUCAGCGUGGAUGGAAACCACGCAUCGAGUGCAAAGGCAUAAGGGUGUCUGACUGCGAGACAUACAGGUCGAGCAGGGACGAAAGUCGGGCUUAGUGAUCCGGCGGUUCCGAAUGGAAGGGCCGUCGCUCAACGGAUAAAAGCUACCCUGGGGAUAACAGGCUGAUCUCCCCCAAGAGUUCACAUCGACGGGGAGGUUUGGCACCUCGAUGUCGGCUCAUCGCAUCCUGGAGCUGAAGUCGGUUCCAAGGGUUGGGCUGUUCGCCCAUUAAAGCGGUACGCGAGCUGGGUUCAGAACGUCGUGAGACAGUUCGGUCCCUAUCUGUCGUGGGCGCAGGAGGUCUGAGGAGAGCUGCCCUCAGUACGAGAGGACCGGGGUGGACGGACCGAUGGUGCACCAGUUGUCACGCCAGUGGCACAGCUGGGUAGCCAAGUCCGGAAGGGAUAAGCGCUGAAGGCAUCUAAGCGCGAAGCCCCCUCCAAGAUGAGACCUCCCAUUGCGCAAGCAAGUAAGACCCCUCGAAGACGACGAGGUUGAUAGACCGGGAGUGCAAGCAUGGCGACAUGUUCAGCGGACCGGCACUAAUAGGUCGAGGACUUGACC
rnacentral:rRNA from 1 species